AAGAAAAAAAACUGUAGCAGCCGAGGAACCUGCAAGGAGGAUGGAAGUAAAGAAAUAUAUAACAAGAGAAGAAUCGUCUAGAUACGACAGAUGGUCACACACGUGUUCAAUCUUGGGUACUGUUCCCUUUCUUAGAUAUAUUUCGUUGGAGAAUAUGUCUAGAUUAAACUACUAUAGAAAAGCAUAACACACUGACUUGGCAAUUAAAUGUAAGAAGAAGAAAAAAUUCAUUUAAAAGGAGUGAAGAAAAUUGAAUUUCGUGGGGGUGAUGAUGAAAAAGAUUCCGAGACAUCGCGUUUAAGAUUCUCAAGCAACAUGUGGCUGGCACGUGUUUCUCUUCUACAUCAGCUACGAUUUAUAUAUAGGAUCAUCGUUCUUCUUUGAGUUUGAACGUUGCAGCUGCUUUAUAUUAUUUUCGGGGGUUCGUCCAUUUUCCUUUUGCCUUAGGGUCUCUCAAAAGGAUCUUGUCCAGGCCGCAAAUACCUUUCUUUAGUAUCUUACACACAUUUUCGAAGCCAUUUCAAUACCUGACUUGAGAUCCAUUUUCAAUGAUUCUGUGUGCUAAAGAGACAGUCAUGGUGCUUUGUUCUUUAUGUUGGAGAAAACUUCCUCAAGAAGAUUGACCAAUUAUUUUUUUGGUACUUGGAUUUAUAAUAUUUGAGUAUAAGGUGGAUUAAUAAAUGAAUACCACCCAGAAAAUACAUGAAUUAUUAGGAUUUAAAAAAAAAAAGCUAAUAAUUAAAAUGCGAUUAAAUGUUUCGUAUUUUUUAGAGCAAAGUUUAUUUAAGUUGAUAUCACAGUGCUAGACUGUUCUGCAUUGCAAUGAAUAAUACCAACAUAAGUUUGGAAAUAUCACGUUGGGGUGUGACGUAUACCUGAGGAUUGGCUUAAUGCUAGUCCAGCCCUUAUUUCAAAGCGGAUAUGUUGAUGAAUCACUUUUCUGACAAUUUUUUUUUUUAAGUAGUUGGAGAAUGUUUGAGUAAACAUUGAAACUCUUCGACAACUUUGGUAAAAUGUUUACUAUUACACUUAAAAACAGUGUGAUUUUUAAGAAGAAUAGUUUAUUUAAUCGAUUUUUUUCUUUCUAAUAAUCGUAAUUAAUUUUUAAACAAAUACUUUAUG